GCCAGGAAAUUCUGAAGGUGAAUAUACCAGCUCUGAAAUCCUCCAAAUAUAUUUUUGGUUACUAACCCUAUUCUUCAUCUGGAAUCAUGUGGCUGUUUAUCAUCCUCAUCUCACUUUUAAGAGGAAGCACGGGUCAAUUGGUCAACCAAACCUCUGGCAUUGUGACUGUUACUGAAGGACAAUCUAUUUCUCUCAGAUGUUCCUAUGAAGCAGCGUACAGUGGCAAUAAUUACCCAUCCUGGUAUAUUCAGCUUCCUGGUCAGCCUCUGGAGAUCUUGUUGGAUGAAAUUGACAACAAGGCUCCAGGUUUCCAGGCUACUCACAAUAAAACCCGUAAAAAGGGGGCUUUCAACAUGCAGAAACAAGCCAUCCAGCUGGAGGACUCUGCUGUCUACUUCUGUGCCUUCAGUGAGAAAGAGUGAGAGGAAGCAGAAGGGGAGCCAAUCAAAAACAGGAGAAAAAGUAUUAAGAGCAGAGAACCAGGGGAUUUUGCUAUUGUCCAUUGAUUCACUUAACAACAACGAUUCUUUCAGACUCACAUUUCUUAUUAUGAAGUGUGGGAAGCCCCCUCUCCCCCUAUCUAGUCCAACCCCCUGCUCACACAGGAAUUAUUAUUAUUAUUUGAUGGAUUGGCAGCUAGAUACUGGUUUCUUAAAUGAAAAGCAGCAUCAGCUUAAGAAGAAAUAUGAGAAUUUCCUACUCUUUUUUGAGCAGGAAAAUGCUUAGAGAAUUCUCUUGUUUUCUCUCUACCUUUUCUCUACUGCUUGCAAGGUAGACCAGACAAGAAGUACACCUGGAUGAACUAAUUCUACUUUAUUGUAAGAUUACAGAAUCUUCAAGUCUGAAAGUUCAUUUCUCCUUCCUGGUUUUACUCUGCAAGAAAAUAGGGAGCGUUCCUUCCCUUCAACAGUGGGAUCCUUCCUUCAAACCAGCUACUAUGAUGAAAGAAUAUCUAACCACAGCUUCUAGCUUUUCAGCUGGCAUUCGUGUCCAUUUUCCAAAAAGAACCUAGACUAUUUUAUUGUAUUGGCAUCCUAUGUGUGGAUGCAAGUAAUAUGCCUCCAUUGGCAGAUGGAAAUUUUGUCAGUAAAUUUUCUAAGUGCCAACAAAGUUUACUUACUAAGUAAAUGUCUUGGUAAACACCUGGCGUACCAUAGACAGGUUAUGCCAUAAUUUUUUCCAGAUCCUGAAUUAUAAUGAUUGAAUUAUUAUUAUUUGAUGGAUUAACAGCUAGGUUCUCGUUCCUUAGAUGAAAAAAGCAGGAUUAGAUUAAGUACGAACAUGAAAAUUUAUCCCUAUUUUUUCAGAAGCAGAAUUCUUAGGAAAGUCUCUUAUAUUUCACUUCCUUUUGGCUACUGCCUUGCAAGGUGGGCCAGACAAGAAGUACACCUGGAUGAACCUAUAUUCUACUUUAUUGUAAGAUUACAGAAUCUUCAAGUCUGAAAGUUCAUUUCUCCUUCCUGGUCUUUACUCUGGGAGAAAACAGGGAGAGUUCAUUUCCUUCAGCACUGGGAUCCUUCUUUCAAACCAUCUGCCUUCUCACACUUACUUGAAAACACAGGGUGGAACUGAGAUGUAGAAAGUCAGAUAAUCUUUCAGAAUAUCUUGGACUAGAGGUUCCUCGGCAUCUGAUACCUAGAAGAAUGACCAUCUGGCCUGGGAUAAGAGCAGAUGUUACCUCAACAUCUGGAUGCACUGGUCUCCAAAAUCAUGGCAGAGAAUGUUUUCAUAUCAUUGAAGGGAUGGUACUGUGAGUUGUCCAUCCGAAAGCACCUUGAACAUUAGGGUUCAUCUUUACAUAUUAAUCAUUUCAGACUCUAAAAUGAUUCUUUCCAACUCACAUUUUAUAUUACCCUCCCCCUCCUCUUAUCUCAGUUCUCUGUUCUUCCACCUGGUUAAUUUCUGUUUUCACCUGUUGCUUCUUGUCCUGCCUUCAGGCGUCUUUGAAAAUAGCUUGACUCCCUCUUCUUUGUGGCAGCCCCUGAGA